ensembl:snRNA U6 U6 spliceosomal RNA
UUUUUUUGGUGGUAGUACAUAUACUGAAACUGAAAUGAUACAGAGAAGAUUAGCAUGGCCCCUGCAGAGGGAUGCCGUGCAGAUUUGGAAGAGCACAUGAGAGGAU